ensembl:snRNA U2 U2 spliceosomal RNA
AUCGCGCUCGCCUUUUGGCUAAGAUCAAGUGUAGUAUCUGUUCUUAUCAGUUUAAUAGGCGAUACGCCCCGAUUCGGGGCAACGUGUAAACGCAUUUUUAGAACAGGGAGCUGAAUAAGGGGCUCGCUCCGUUCGCUUCCCGCGAGAUCGACCGGUAUUGCAGCGCCCGGGAACGGUGCCCCUU